rnacentral:rRNA from 1 species
UAGUGGCGAACGGGUGAGUAACACGUGGGCAAUCUGCCCUGCACUCUGGGACAAGCCCUGGAAACGGGGUCUAAUACCGGAUAUGACCGUCUUGGGCAUCCUUGACGGUGUAAAGCUCCGGCGGUGCAGGAUGAGCCCGCGGCCUAUCAGCUUGUUGGUGAGGUAAUGGCUCACCAAGGCGACGACGGGUAGCCGGCCUGAGAGGGCGACCGGCCACACUGGGACUGAGACACGGCCCAGACUCCUACGGGAGGCAGCAGUGGGGAAUAUUGCACAAUGGGCGAAAGCCUGAUGCAGCGACGCCGCGUGAGGGAUGACGGCCUUCGGGUUGUAAACCUCUUUCAGCAGGGAAGAAGCGAAAGUGACGGUACCUGCAGAAGAAGCGCCGGCUAACUACGUGCCAGCAGCCGCGGUAAUACGUAGGGCGCAAGCGUUGUCCNGGAAUUAUUGGGCGUAAAGAGCUCGUAGGCCGGCUUGUCGCGUCGGUUGUGAAAGCCCGGGGCUUAACCCCGGGUCUGCAGUCGAUACGGGCAGGCUAGAGUUCGGUAGGGGAGAUCGGAAUUC